rnacentral:rRNA from 1 species
UACGUAGGGAGCAAGCGUUAUCCGGAAUUAUUGGGUGUAAAGGGUGCGUAGACGGGUUAACAAGUUAGUUGUGAAAUCCCUCGGCUCAACUGAGGAACUGCAACUAAAACUGAUAUUCUUGAGUGCUGGAGAGGAAAGUGGAAUUCCUAGUGUAGCGGUGAAAUGCGUAGAUAUUAGGAGGAACACCAGUGGCGAAGGCGACUUUCUGGACAGUAACUGACGUUGAGGCACGAAAGUGUGGGGAGCAAACAGG